rnacentral:rRNA from 1 species
AGCGAACGCUGGCGGCAGGCCUAACACAUGCAAGUCGAAUGAAGUCUUCGGACUUAGUGGCGGACGGGUGAGUAACACGUGGGAACGCACCUUUUGUUUCGGAACAACUCAGGGAAACUUGAGCUAAUACCGGAUGAGCCCUUAGGGGGAAAGAUUUAUUGCCGAAAGAGCGGCCCGCGUUAGACUUAGCUAGUUGGUGAGGUAAAGGCUCACCAAGGCUACGAUCUAUAGCUGGUCUGAGAGGAUGAUCAGCCACACUGGGACUGAGACACGGCCCAGGCGCCUACGGGAGGCAGCAGUGGGGAAUCUUGCGCAAUGGGCGAAAGCCUGACGCAGCCAUGCCGCGUGAAUGAUGAAGGUCUUAGGGUUGUAAAAUUCUUUUACCAGGGACGAUAAUGACGGUACCUGGAGAAAAAGCCCCGGCUAACUUCGUGCCAGCCGCCGCCGUAAUAC